rnacentral:rRNA from 1 species
AACCCAACUGCAUAAGCAGUUACUGUUAACUCAAUACAUAGGUUAACAGAGCAAACCGGGGGAACUGAAACAUCUAAGUACCCCGAGGAGAAGAAAUCAACCGAGAUUCCGGUAGUAGCGGCGAGCGAACCUGGAUUAGCCCUUAAGCACUCGAUGAAGUAGGUGAACAAGCUGGAAAGCUUGGCGAUACAGGGUGAUAGCCCCGUAACCGACGCUUCAUCGAGCGUGAAAUCGAGUAGGGCGGGACACGUGAUAUCCUGUCUGAAUAUGGGGGGACCAUCCUCCAAGGCUAAAUACUCCUGACUGACCGAUAGUGAACCAGUACCGUGAGGGAAAGGCGAAAAGAACCCCUGUGAGGGGAGUGAAAUAGAACCUGAAACCGUGUACGUACAAGCAGUAGGAGCACCUUCGUGGUGUGACUGCGUACCUUUUGUAUAAUGGGUCAGCGACUUAUAUUCAGUGGCAAGGUUAACCGUAUAGGGGAGCCGUAGCGAAAGCGAGUCUUAACUGGGCGCUCAGUCUCUGGAUAUAGACCCGAAACCGGGUGAUCUAGCCAUGGGCAGGUUGAAGGUUGAGUAACAUCAACUGGAGGACCGAACCGACUAAUGUUGAAAAAUUAGCGGAUGACUUGUGGCUAGGGGUGAAAGGCCAAUCAAACUCGGAGAUAGCUGGUUCUCCCCGAAAGCUAUUUAGGUAGCGCCUCGGACGAAUACUACUGGGGGUAGAGCACUGUUAAGGCUAGGGGGUCAUCCCGACUUACCAACCCUUUGCAAACUCCGAAUACCAGUAAGUACUAUCCGGGAGACACACGGCGGGUGCUAACGUCCGUCGUGGAGAGGGAAACAACCCAGACCGCCAGCUAAGGUCCCAAAGUAUUGCUAAGUGGGAAACGAUGUGGGAAGGCUCAGACAGCUAGGAUGUUGGCUUAGAAGCAGCCAUCAUUUAAAGAAAGCGUAAUAGCUCACUAGUCGAGUCGGCCUGCGCGGAAGAUGUAACGGGGCUAAGCAAUACACCGAAGCUGCGGCAAUAUCUUUUAGAUAUUGGGUAGGGGAGCGUUCUGUAAGCCGUUGAAGGUGGAUCGUAAGGUUUGCUGGAGGUAUCAGAAGUGCGAAUGCUGACAUGAGUAACGACAAAGGGGGUGAAAAACCUCCUCGCCGGAAGACCAAGGGUUCCUGUCCAACGUUAAUCGGGGCAGGGUGAGUCGACCCCUAAGGUGAGGCCGAAAGGCGUAAUCGAUGGGAAACGGGUUAAUAUUCCCGUACUUCUGACUAUUGCGAUGGGGGGACGGAGAAGGCUAGGUGGGCCAGGCGACGGUUGUCCUGGUUCAAGUGCGUAGGCUUGAGAGUUAGGUAAAUCCGGCUCUCUCUAAGGCUGAGACACGACGUCGAGCUGCUACGGCAGUGAAGUCAUUGAUGCCAUGCUUCCAGGAAAAGCCUCUAAGCUUCAGAUAGUCAGGAAUCGUACCCCAAACCGACACAGGUGGUCGGGUAGAGAAUACCAAGGCGCUUGAGAGAACUCGGGUGAAGGAACUAGGCAAAAUGGUACCGUAACUUCGGGAGAAGGUACGCUCUUGAUGGUGAAGUCCCUCGCGGAUGGAGCUGACGAGAGUCGCAGAUACCAGGUGGCUGCAACUGUUUAUUAAAAACACAGCACUGUGCAAAAUCGCAAGAUGACGUAUACGGUGUGACGCCUGCCCGGUGCCGGAAGGUUAAUUGAUGGGGUUAGCGCAAGCGAAGCUCUUGAUCGAAGCCCCGGUAAACGGCGGCCGUAACUAUAACGGUCCUAAGGUAGCGAAAUUCCUUGUCGGGUAAGUUCCGACCUGCACGAAUGGCGUAAUGAUGGCCACGCUGUCUCCACCCGAGACUCAGUGAAAUUGAAAUCGCUGUGAAGAUGCAGUGUACCCGCGGCUAGACGGAAAGACCCCGUGAACCUUUACUACAGCUUGGCACUGAACAUUGAACCUACAUGUGUAGGAUAGGUGGGAGGCUAUGAAGACGUGACGCCAGUUGCGUUGGAGCCGUCCUUGAAAUACCACCCUUGUAUGUUUGAUGUUCUAACUUAGACCCGUUAUCCGGGUUGAGGACAGUGCCUGGUGGGUAGUUUGACUGGGGCGGUCUCCUCCCAAAGAGUAACGGAGGAGCACGAAGGUGGGCUAAUCACGGUUGGACAUCGUGAGGUUAGUGCAAUGGCAUAAGCCCGCUUAACUGCGAGAAUGACGGUUCGAGCAGGUGCGAAAGCAGGUCAUAGUGAUCCGGUGGUUCUGUAUGGAAGGGCCAUCGCUCAACGGAUAAAAGGUACUCCGGGGAUAACAGGCUGAUACCGCCCAAGAGUUCAUAUCGACGGCGGUGUUUGGCACCUCGAUGUCGGCUCAUCACAUCCUGGGGCUGAAGUCGGUCCCAAGGGUAUGGCUGUUCGCCAUUUAAAGUGGUACGCGAGCUGGGUUUAGAACGUCGUGAGACAGUUCGGUCCCUAUCUGCCGUGGGCGUUGGAAGAUUGAAGGGGGCUGCUCCUAGUACGAGAGGACCGGAGUGGACGAACCUCUGGUGUUCGGGUUGUGUCGCCAGACGCAUUGCCCGGUAGCUAAGUUCGGAAUUGAUAAGCGCUGAAAGCAUCUAAGCGCGAAGCGAGCCCUGAGAUGAGUCUUCCCUGAUACUUUAAGUAUCCUAAAGGGUUGUUCGAGACUAGAACGUUGAUAGGCAGGGUGUGUAAGCGUUGUGAGGCGUUGAGCUAACCUGUACUAAUUGCCCGUGAGGCUUAACCAUACAACACCCAAGGGGUUUUGUA